rnacentral:rRNA from 1 species
UACGGGGGGGGCAAGCGUUGUUCGGAAUUACUGGGCGUAAAGGGCGUGUAGGCGGCCAACUAAGUCCGACGUGAAAUCCCCAGGCUUAACCUGGGAACUGCGUCGGAUACUGGAUGGCUUGAAUCCGGGAGAGGGAUGCGGAAUUCCAGGUGUAGCGGUGAAAUGCGUAGAUAUCUGGAGGAACACCGGUGGCGAAGGCGGCAUCCUGGACCGGCAUUGACGCUAAAGCGCGAAAGCCAGGGGAGCAAACAGG